UACGAAGGGGGCUAGCGUUGCUCGGAAUUACUGGGCGUAAAGGGCGCGUAGGCGGACAGUUUAGUCAGAGGUAAAAGCCCAGGGCUCAACCUUGGAACUGCCUUUGAUACUGGCGACCUUGAGUCCGGGAGAGGUGAGUGGAACUGCGAGUGUAGAGGUGAAAUUCGUAGAUAUUCGCAAGAACACCAGUGGCGAAGGCGGCUCACUGGCCCGGUACUGACGCUGAGGUGCGAAAGCGUGGGAGCA
rnacentral:rRNA from 1 species